rfam:Loxodonta africana unplaced genomic scaffold scaffold_0, whole genome shotgun sequence.
GCCUGGGUGGUACAAAUGGUUAACACACUCGGCUGCUAACUGAGAAGUUGGAGGUUCAAGUCCAUCCAGAGGUG